CCUACGGGUGGCAGCAGUGGGGAAUAUUGGACAAUGGGGGCAACCCUGAUCCAGCCAUGCCGCGUGUGUGAAGAAGGCCCUCGGGUUGUAAAGCACUUUCAGUGAGGAAGAACGCCUGGUGGUUAAUACCCAUCAGGAAAGACAUCACUCACAGAAGAAGCACCGGCUAACUCCGUGCCAGCAGCCGCGGUAAUACGGAGGGUGCGAGCGUUAAUCGGAAUUACUGGGCGUAAAGCGCGCGUAGGUGGCUUGAUAAGCCGGUUGUGAAAGCCCCGGGCUCAACCUGGGAACGGCAUCCGGAACUGUCAAGGUAGAGGGCAGGAGAGGAAGGUAGAAUUCCCGGUGUAGCGGUGAAAUGCGUAGAGAUCGGGAGGAAUACCAGUGGCGAAGGCGGCCUUCUGGACUGACACUGACACUGAGGUGCGAAAGCGUGGGUAGCAAACAGGAUUAGAUACCCCUGUAGUC
rnacentral:rRNA from 1 species